rnacentral:rRNA from 1 species
ACGGGGGGCCGGUACGGCGGGAACGAUAAGUCACUAUAAACACCGCCAGUCACCCUCACACACCGUCAGUCUCCUCAGACUUGGCGGUGCACCAAAACAACCUAGAGGAGCCUGUUCUAUAAUCGAUAAUCCACGAUUCACCCAACCACCCCUUGCCAGCACAGCCUACAUACCGCCCUUCCCAGUCCACCUCUAAUGAAAGAACAACAGUGAGCUCAAUAGCCCCUCGCUAAUAAGACAGGUCAAGGUAUAGCCUAUGGGGUGGGAGAAAUGGGCUACAUUUUCUAACAUAGAACAAACGAAAAAGGACGUGAAACCCGCCCUUAGAAGGAGGAUUUAGCAGUAAAGUGAGAUCAUACCCCCUAAGCUCACUUUAAGACGGCUCUGAGGCACGUACACACCGCCCGUCACCCUCACACACGGCGCGUGUCCUUCACACACAGCGUGUUCACUAAAACAUUUUUUUUUUCUCUCAUACUCUGGGUUUUUUCUAUAACACAUGGCGUGGUUUCUAUU